rnacentral:lncRNA from 1 species
GAUGUCCUGAUUUUAUAGGGGACAGUCCCGAUUUUUGGGUCUUUUUCUUAUAUAGGCUCCUAUUACCCCCCACCUCCGUCCCGAUUUUUCACCCUUGCUGUCUGGUCACCCUACCCCCAGUGGCCAGUGUAGUGCAGCACCAGCCCUCUCUGCAGAAAGGAGUCUGCGCUGGUAAAUGGUUUCUAUAGCAGCAGCAAGGUUGGCAAACAGGGCUGGGCAGAGACAGCAAGAGUUUCCAACCUCCCAAGGCAUUUAAGCUGUUACUCUUCUGCACUGCUCCUUCUUCUGAACGAUACAUGUAGGAGAUGCAGCCUGAAAAGUCAAAGAAAUUCUCUGCUUCAAAAAUGACUCACACACGCAACCUGGCACCUAGUUUCAAACAAAUGGAUACACUGAGUUCAAUUGAGGCAGAGUACAUAAAGAAUCUACAGAAAGAAGUCUACCUACUGGAACUUGAGACAUCAUUUCUAAGAGAGCAAGCUAAAAAGGCUACCAGUAUUCAACCAAAAAUCAGCACUCAAGCGGAAAAAGUGUUGCAGAAGAUGAAGGAAUUACAGUCAGAAAUAAAUACUGCUCAGCUGGAACUUGGAAAGAAAGAGAACAGCACCAAGUUUUUCGAUGCAGAAAAUCAAGCCAUGCAUAAACGUCUGCAAACUCUAUCAGAUGCAAAUACUAGAGAAAAGCUGUUAUUAAUGGAGGAUGUUACAAAGCUGAAGAAACUUGCUGAGAUUGUCAUUCAGGACAUUUCACACAAAGAAGCAGAGCUACUAGAAGUUCAGAAAGAGCUACAGAGGGCCAUGAAUUCCAUGAAAGAAAAAGAGCAUAAGCGCCAUCAUUUGGAAAAUCAACUACACCAGCAGAUUCAACACCACCAGGAUAUGGAAGCAAAGCUUGUGGAAAAUAGAUCAGAAUGUUUAAGAGUGCAGGCGUUGCUCCACCAGCUGGAGGAGAAAUACCUUACUAGCUCCCAGUCCAUGCAGCAGCAUAUUGCCAAAGAACUUCGGGAGGAAGCUGAAAAAUUAAGACAGCAGCUCAAAGAAAAAGAACUUUCUGCUGAUGAGGAUAAAUAUUUACGCAACAAAAUGGCAGAAGAUUGUGGAUAUCUGACAAAAGAAAAUGGCUUCUUACAGUCUCAGGUUCUGGAAGCAGCCAGGCAGCUAGAUAGAGAGAGGCAGCUGAGAGAGGAGGAAAGCACCUGCCGUACAAGGAGGAUUUCUGAGCUAGCCUGUGAAAAGGAGAAAGAACGACAACUUGAGAUGGAGUUCACUUACGUGAAGAGACUAUUGCAGGAUGAAAGACAGAAGGCUCUUACUGCACAAGAGCAGGUACUACGUCUCCAGCAAGAAAGGAAAUCUGUAAAUCUAAAUGGACAGUCACUUCAGAGCCAGCUAAAAGAUUUAGAAAGGAGAUGGUCAAAAGCUCAACUGGAAAAUUCAAAACUGCGAACAGAAAAAACUCAUUUAGUAGAACAUAUUUCUCAGUUACAUAAACAGGUAAUUACAUUCACUGCUUCUUAAAAAAAAAAGGGGGGGGGGAGUAGGAAAAUUACCUUAGAAGUGAGUCACCCUCAUUAAUUAUAGAAAAAUAUGAAGUGGUAAUUUUAAACCACAUUUAGUUACAGACCGCCACAAUUCUUUUUUCAAGGCUUAUGUCAAAGUUAGUAAAAUAACUCCCAGCAUUUCUUAUUUACACUGGUGUAAAUCUGGAGUAUUGAGUGCAUGGCCUCUUAUUGUAAGCAAUGCAGGUAGCAACACCUGUAGUUACAAGAUAGGGUAUUAUGGAAACCUCCAGGCUGCUUUCAGUUGCUUAUAAUUUCACCAAACUAACAUUGUGGGUUUUCUGAUGGUGUGUACUCAAGCUGAAUUUUUUGGGGAACAUUUCAGCAAAACCAGCCCAAAUGCUUUUCAGAAUGAGGUUGGGAAACACCGCUGUAAAAAUUUAACAUGGGAAAAACAAAUUGUUUAGUUGAGAAGCUCUAGUGCCUCCAUGCUUUGCAGUAGGGACAUACAACCUGGCAAGGGCUGUGUCUCACCCUGUUAUCAGGGAUGUACUUGAAAUGUUUUGAAGACUGUCUAUAAAGUUUAAAUAAGGUUAGUUGUUCCUUGUGAUAAUAGGACACCUGUUUUCGUUUGAACCAAGCCAUUACCCAAAGCCAAAAAUCAGAUUUAUAAAUGCAACGUUAGCCCUUAUGGUUGCUGGGUUAUCAGUCUGUCACAACAUGUACACUAUGCAAUGUACCAACAGUAAUUGCCAUUACCAAAUCAGACCAGUGGUUAGUCUAGUCCAGUAUUUUUUCUCUCGCUUUGAGAUACUUCGAAAAGUACAAGAAAUCCAAGGAAGAAAGUCUGCUUCUAACAGGAUUUAUGGUUCAGACUUACUGAUAAGUAAGGCUCUAGUUUUCACAUCCCAUAUACAUUCCAUGCCCUUUUACCUCAUUCAAAAUAAAGAUCAAAUUCAAGGAAGAAGCUAGGCA